rnacentral:rRNA from 1 species
GGGUCAGUAGGUUGGUCGUGCCACCGGUACGUACUGGUCUCACUGAUCCCUCCUUCCUGAAGAACCGUAAUGCCAUUAAUUUGGUGUUGCGGGGAAACAGGACUGUUACUUUGAAAAAAUUAGAGUGUUUAAAGCAAGCUAACGCUUGAAUACAUUAGCAUGGAAUAAUGAAAUAGGACGAUCAAUCCUAUUUUGUUGGUUUCUAGGAUUGACGUA